CAGUCGCCACGGGAACACGUAGGGUGCGAGCGUUAAUCGGAAUUACUGGGCGUAAAGCGUGCGCAGGCGGUUCGUUAAGACAGAUGUGAAAUCCCCGGGCUUAACCUGGGAACUGUAUUUGUGACUGGCGAGCUAGAGUAUGGCAGAGGGGGGUAGAAUUCCACGUGUAGCAGUGAAAUGCGUAGAGAUGUGGAGGGAUACCGAUGGCGAAGGCAGCCCCCUGGGCCAAUACUGACGCUCAUGCACGAAAGCGUGGGGAGCAAACAGGAUUAGAUACCCCGGUAGUCCCUGUCUCUUAUAC
rnacentral:rRNA from 1 species